rnacentral:rRNA from 1 species
GACAGAGGGUGCAAACGUUGUUCGGAAUUACUGGGCGUAAAGCGCACGUAGGCGGCCCAGCAAGUCGGAAGUGAAAUCCCACGGCUCAACCAUGGAAGUGCUUUCGAAACUGCUGGGCUUGAGUACAAAAGAGGAUCGCGGAAUUCCCGGUGUAGAGGUGAAAUUCGUAGAUAUCGGGAGGAACACCAGUGGCGAAGGCGGCGAUCUGGGUUGAUACUGACGCUGAGGUGCGAAAGCGUGGGGAGCAAACAGG